rnacentral:rRNA from 1 species
GAUGAACGCUGGCGGCGUGCCUAAUACAUGCAAGUCGAGCGAACAGACGAGGAGCUUGCUCCUCUGACGUUAGCGGCGGACGGGUGAGUAACACGUGGAUAACCUACCUAUAAGACUGGGAUAACUUCGGAAACCGGAGCUAAUACCGGAUAACAUGUUGAACCGCAUGGUUCAACAGUGAAAGACGGUUUUGCUGUCACUUAUAGAUGGAUCCGCGUCGCAUUAGCUAGUUGGUAAGGUAACGGCUUACCAAGGCAACGAUGCGUAGCCGACCUGAGAGGGUGAUCGGCCACACUGGAACUGAGACACGGUCCAGACUCCUACGGGAGGCAGCAGUAGGGAAUCUUCCGCAAUGGGCGAAAGCCUGACGGAGCAACGCCGCGUGAGUGAAGAAGGUCUUCGGAUCGUAAAACUCUGUUAUUAGGGAAGAACAAAUGUGUAAGUAACUAUGCACGUCUUGACGGUACCUAAUCAGAAAGCCACGGCUAACUACGUG